UACAGAGGGUGCUAGCGUUGUUCGGAAUCAUUGGGCGUAAAGGGCGUGUAGGCGGUUUGUUAAGUCAUGUGUGAAAUCCCUCGGCUCAACCGGGGAACGACGCAUGAAACUGGCAGCUAGAGUACCAAAGAGGGGGGUGGAAUUCCCGGUGUAGCGGUGAAAUGCGUAGAUAUCGGGGAGGAACACCUGUGGCGAAGGCGACCCCCUGGUUGGAUACUGACGCUGAGACGCGAAAGCGUGGGGGAGCAAACAGG
rnacentral:rRNA from 1 species